AGAACAAUGCGGGAGUUGCAGAGAGAGGUGUCCUGUGUUUGUUCCCAGUCUUCCUUCACUCACCUGCACCUGCUCCUGCCCUGCUUCGGCCAACAUGUUCUAUGCAGGGUGGUUUUGCUGAUGAGACAGCUGCAGUUUGGGGAGUGUGAUAUCAAGGAAAGCAGUGUCUUGAGUCUGUCACUUUCUCUCUCUGUCCCAUUGGCUGCUCACUGAUGUCACUUAGAGGAAGGCAGGGGCACAAGAUGGGAGGACCCAGAGCUCCGGGUUCUUAAGAAAUCUUCUCCAAGGGCAACUCUGAGUGGUGAAGACAGGAUGGAGUCAGUUGACUCUAGACCUUGUCCCAGUCUACUACUUUCUACUAUGACCUCCAGCAGGGCUGGGAGCUACACAGGCCAGGGACUUUGUUUUCUUCCCCGUCUUUCCUCAGGGCCCAUCACAGAAAUGCCUUUAGGCCCUCUUCACCACCUCACAUCUGCAUCUCAACUCCAGGCAGCAGAGUUCAUAUCAAGGGCCCAUGUUUUAACUGAAUAUAAUGAAUUUUUUUUUUCACCUUGGAAGAGUCUUAGAGGCAAGAUUAGAAUGUUCAUCUAAAAGGAGUGCAAAUUUCUUCAACCAUUCCCACGGAGGAAGGUCUACUCUGUGAAAAGGAAAUGAUCAUACAUAAUUCAUGCAUUUGCUGUACGGAUUUAAUUAAAUGAUAGACAAAAAGUAGAGUGGCACAAGUCAAACUCAAAAAAUAGUAACAACAAAAUCAAUUUCAAAAUAAGCAACAGCAAUAAAUGUUACCUACUAUUUUACGAAUGAAAAUACUGAGACCAAUAAAGGCAUUAUAGUAUACAUAGCCUUGGAAUCAGAAGACCAAGAACAUACAAGAGAACAUAGCCUUGGAAUCAGAAGACCAAGAAACAAUUUAACUCUGCCCCUCUAGAGCUCUGAGAACUUGGGCAAGCCUUUUACCCUCUGUGAGUUUCAGUUUCCUCAUUUAUUUAAUUGAAAUAAUAAUACAGAUCACCUGAAAUGUAAUGAAAAUUAAACAUCCUUAUGUAGGUGAAACCAACUGGCAGCAUGCCUGGAAUAUAGUGAGUGCUCAUUCGGUCUCUUGUAUUUUCUUUCUAUACCCUACUUCUGUUCCCUUGGAUUCAUAUACCUGAAUUGGAAACACCCAAAGUCAAAAAGAAUAAGAAAAAUCUUUAGAAAUGUAGCAUAUUACCAAGAUCUGCAAAUUUCUGCCCAGAGCAGAUGGUUCUAAUAAAGAAAGUCGGAUCUUA
rnacentral:lncRNA from 1 species